GCUUAGUUUAAGGGUUUCACCCAAUGUUCAGUGUUCUUUUUCCCAUUAAGCAAAUCCAAUGUUUUCCCGGUUCCCUCAGUUUAGUUUGUAAAAUUUUGGCAUUCAACGUUGUCCAAAUCUGCAAAACAUCGUGGCCAUCGCAUUUGGGAUCAAUAAUUUACCAUCUCGUUUGCUUCUCUGCUUCGAGUAAAUCGGAUCACCGGCGUGAGUUUGAUCAGCCACUCGUUCUUUCCAUGAUUUCUUCAGGAUUUCUCGAGUUCAAUGGAGCAGUUCCAGUUUAUAAUCAUGCCUGUGAUUCAAAUCCUCAUAAUGUCUCUUUGAUUUCUCUACCGGUUAUCCGGAAGGGUUUUGAUUCUGAUGUACGGCUUUUUAGAAGAGGGAUUUGUAGCAUGAGAGAUUUCAGGCUUUCAGUUGUUUGUGCGACCCCGCAAGUUUCAAUUAUGGACCACAUUACACCUGUUUCGGAUUUGAAUAGUGAUGAUUCUAUGAGGCCAUCAAUUGAAACAGCUCUGAUAUUAAUUCGACAUGGUGAGUCAAUGUGGAAUGAGAAGAAUUUAUUUACUGGCUCUGUUGAUGUACCUUUGACAAGAAGAGGUGUAGAGGAAGCAAUUGAAGCUGGUAAGAGGAUCAGCAACCUACCGAUCGACUAUGUUUACACGUCUGCGCUAAUUCGCUCGCAAAUGACAGCGGUGCUUGCUUUGAUUCAACAUCGCUGCAAAAAGGUGCCCAUCAUUAUCCAUAAUUGUAAUAAACAGGCAGAGGCAUGGAGCCAAAUUUACAGUGAUGAGGCUAGAAAGCAAUCAUUUCCGGUUAUUAGAGCUUGGCAAUUGAAUGAAAGAAUGUAUGGUGAGCUACAGGGACUGAAUAAACAGGAGAUUGCCAAAAGAUAUGGUGAAGAGCAAGUGCAUGAAUGGCGCCGGAGUUACGAAAUUCCUCCGCCCGAGGGUGAGAGCUUGCAGAUGUGCUCACAAAGAGCAGUUGGAUAUUUUAAAGAGCAUAUUGAACCACAUCUGCAAUCUGGGAAACAUGUUAUGGUUGCAGCCCAUGCUAAUACGCUAAGGUCUAUUAUCAUGUAUCUAGAAAAAUUAACUUCUCGCCAGGAAACAGGUAAUUGGGUUGGAAGUAUCAACUGGGGUACCAUUACUUUACAUAUACAAGGAGGGAACAUUUAUGAAGCGAGGGAGUCCUGUCGGUUCUUCGGAAGCUGGCGUAUAUGCACUAACUAGGGCAAGAAUAUUCUACCUCUCCAUCAUCUUAUGUUUAGAUUUACUGAAUUUAGCACUUUACAGGCAAAAGUUGGACGAAAUGUCAUGCUGAAUCCCUGAAAUUCAGUGUUAUUGUUGAAGGUUAUCCGCAGCGGGCAUACCCACUUCCUGGAAAGACAAGGAGAUGGAUUCCACAAAAGCCACAGAUACAAGUUUCCAUCGUUUAGUAUGGAAGAUGAUUUUAAUUUUUCAUUUAUGUUUGUUCGUAAUAUAAUCUAAGUAUUAAUAUCAACCAACACGAGUAUAAUUCAACCGUUAUGAUAUUUAAUUUUUUUAUUAAU